rnacentral:rRNA from 1 species
UAGGGAAUCUUCGGCAAUGGACGAAAGUCUGACCGAGCAACGCCGCGUGAGUGAAGAAGGUUUUCGGAUCGUAAAACUCUGUUGUUAGAGAAGAACAAGGACGUUAGUAACUGAACGUCCCCUGACGGUAUCUAACCAGAAAGCCACGGCUAACUACGUGCCAGCAGCCGCGGUAAUACGUAGGUGGCAAGCGUUGUCCGGAUUUAUUGGGCGUAAAGCGAGCGCAGGCGGUUUCUUAAGUCUGAUGUGAAAGCCCCCGGCUCAACCGGGGAGGGUCAUUGGAAACUGGAGGGCUUGAGUGCAGAAGAGGAGAGUGGAAUUCCAUGUGUAGCGGUGAAAUGCGUAGAUAUAUGGAGGAACACCAGUGGCGAAGGCGGCUCUCUGGUCUGUAACUGACGCUGAGGCUCGAAAGCGUGGGGAGCAAACAGG